GGGAGGCGCGCUCCGGAGCGUGCGUGCGCGCGCGCCGCGGGCGGGCCAGUGAAGCCGGCGGCCCUGGCACGUGACCCGGGACCGGCUCGGUGGCUUGGUGGCUCGGUCUGUCUGUCCGUCCGCGGGUGCCAUCAUGGCGGACGCGGCCAGUCAGGUGCUCCUGGGCUCCGGUCUCACCAUCCUGUCCCAGCCGCUCAUGUACGUGAAGGUGCUCAUCCAGGUGGGAUAUGAGCCUCUUGCUCCAACAGUAGGACGAAAUAUUUUUGGGCGGCAAGUCUGUCAACUUCCUGGUCUCUUUUGUUAUGCUCAGCACAUUGCAAGCAUUGAUGGGAAGCGUGGAUUGUUCACAGGCUUAACUCCAAGACUGUGUUCAGGCAUCCUUGGAACUGUGGUCCAUGGUAAAGUUUUACAGCAUUACCAGGAGUGUGACAAGGCUGAGGAGUCAGGAUCUGGAAAUGUACAGAAAGAAGUUUCAUCUUCCUUUGACCAUGUUAUCAAGGAGACAACUCGGGAGAUGAUGGCUCGUUCUGCUGCUACCCUCAUCACACAUCCCUUCCACGUGAUCACUCUGAGAUCUAUGGUACAAUUCAUUGGCAGAGAAUCCAAGUACUGUGGACUUUGUGACUCCAUAGCAACAAUCUAUCGGGAAGAGGGCAUCCUAGGAUUUUUUGCGGGCCUUAUCCCUCGCCUGCUCGGUGACAUCAUCUCCUUGUGGCUUUGUAACUCGCUGGCCUACCUCGUCAAUACCUACGCACUGGACAGUGGGGUUUCCACCAUGAAUGAAAUGAAGAGUUAUUCCCAGGCUGUCACAGGAUUUUUUGCCAGUAUGUUGACCUAUCCCUUCGUGCUUGUCUCUAAUCUUAUGGCUGUCAACAACUGUGGGUAAGUGCCUUGCAUUUCUUGUCCUAGGAAUUGGCUGCCUGUAUGCCUGACGGGCAGAGCAGUCCUGGUGGAAAUUUGGCAGGGAGAGGCGCAGGCGGUGCCAUGAUAGGUUCCCUGGUUUCCCGUCUGCCCCAUGCACCGGCAGUGCCGUCGAGUUGUAUUAUAAGCGGUCUCUUCACAGCCCGCUUUGAAACAGAGAAGGGCACAAAUAAUAUUUCUUAAGUACUUAUAAAUAGUAUGUACUUGUCAGUAGUCUAGGUUCUUUUCUGAAAAUAGUGGAAUAAUGACCACUCUCACGUCUUUUCUUUAUAUUAAUCCUUAUCCUCUCUUAUGAACAUUAUGAAAGGUAUGUUAGGGAUUGAAUGACAACCUGUACCUGUUUUGCAUCAGGGCUUCAUGGAAAAAGUGUUUUAAAGUUAGCAAAGUAGAAAAUUUGGUUGAAAAUGCAAAGUUUCUUGACCUUUCAUGUAUUGACUGGGAAGGAGGGCCGAGGGUGGGGAUGGACACCACUGAUUUCCAGAUGCCAGGUGACUGCCAGGUUGGACAGAAGUUUUAACGUCUUGAUUUAAUUCUGUUACACUAGGGUACCCGUCACAGCACGCCAUUAGACAUAUCACUGUUUUCAGACAGGGUAUCCAGUUGAUAGCUGUGUAGAGUUUUGAGCACAGUUACCAUAUUGUGUUUGUUCUGUGAUUUGCGGAUCGGCUGCCACGUUGUAGCCCAGAGCAGGCUUGAAGGAUGAGUUAAGUGUGUUGUUGUUAUUUGCAGUUUUUUAGAGAAGUGAGUGGCUUCCCUGAUGGCUCAGUCGGUAAAGCAUCUGCCCACAAUGCCGGAGACCUGGGCUUGAUCCCUGGGUCGAGAAGAUCCUCUAGAGAAGGAAAUGGAACCCACUCCAGUAUUCUUGUCUGGAGAAUUCCAUGGACAGAGGAGCCUGGUGGACUGUGGUCCAUGGGGUCACAAAGAGUCAGACACCACUAAGUGCCUAACUUCACUUCCAGAGAAGACGUGGGUGGGAGUCGCGCCUGAGGAAGAGCGUGUAGUCGCCAGUUUCACACCGCUACCCGUUGUUACAUUUGGAGUCUUUUAAACACCACAUAGUUUUAAAUUCCCUUUCUCAGCUCUUUAAUCAUAUAACUACUAUGUUAUAGAAUUUCAUUUGUUCACUAAUUAAAACCUAGAUGUUUUAGAAAAUACAUAACUAAAGUUUCUCUUGUUGUUUAAAUUCCCUUUCUCAGCUCUUUAAUCAUAUAACUACUAUGUUAUAGAAUUUCAUUUGUUCACUAAUUAAAACCUAGAUGUUUUAGAAAAUACAUAACUAAAGUUUCUCUUGUUGUGUUGAUUCAAAACCUAAAUGUAAGAAAGUGGGAUCUGUUUUGGAUGCUCAGUCUUUCCCCUGUGCCAACAGAAUUUGUUUCUAUAGAACCGCUAAAAUUGCUUCUCAGGAAACCUUCCAGGCAGAAUAUUUUGACCAAGAUCUAUUGAGCUCUUGAGAGAAUGUUUUAUAAAUAUUGACUUCGGUAACUAAUCUCUUUUUCUAUUUCAGGCUUGCUGGUGGAUGCCCUCCCUACGCCCCAAUAUAUUCUUCUUGGAUAGAUUGCUGGUGCAUGCUACAGAAA